CCAACACCUCAGGAGACGCCAGGCCCCCACAUCUGUGUUCUGGAACACACCAGAAUGAGAGAAAUUGUGGCUUCCAGUGGGAUAGCUGUGGAUGUUUCCUCAAAUCAAAACCACGGUGUCCGGUUAGGGAAGGCUGUAACACCUGACACCUCAGGACACACACCAAACAAGCUGCAGAGAUUCCUGAAGGAACAUCUCAAACUCCUGGGGGUGGCUCAGAUUAUGAUUAGUGUGAAAUUCAUCGUCUAUGGGAUAAUUGGAAUUUCAGUUCUCCAUUACGCAACACCCAACACCAGUUUCUUCUCAUUUCAGAUAGGCUUCCCAAUAUGGGCAGCUUUACC